rnacentral:rRNA from 1 species
UAGAGACCGGCGCACGGGUGCGUAACGCGUAUGCAAUCUACCUUUUACAGAGGGAUAGCCCAGAGAAAUUUGGAUUAAUGCCCCAUGGUAUUAUAGAGUGGCAUCACUUUAUAAUUAAAGUUCCAACGGUAUAAGAUGAGCAUGCGUCCCAUUAGUUAGUUGGUAAGGUAACGGCUUACCAAGACAGCGAUGGGUAGGGGCCCUGAGAGGGUGAUCCCCCACACUGGUACUGAGACACGGACCAGACUCC